rnacentral:tRNA from 1 species
GGGGUUGUAGUUCAGUGGAGAGCACUUGCCUAGCACGUAUGAGGGACUGGGUUCAAUUCUCAGCACCA